CGGAAGCAAGUGCCACAUUCAUUUCUUUGAAUUACCUUCGCGCACAAGUUCGGUAUUACGUCGUAAUGAGACCACGAUUGUCACCUUUUUUCAUGUAUUGGUAUUGUUUUGUGCCUUGGUUUGAUUUGUGACAAAGAAUCCUACGUAACGGUGGUGUGGCGCGACUUGAAUAACGCCUUUGUGUCUGAGCUGUAUCGUCAGCUUGUUACGAUAGUAAUAAUUUGUAGCGUGUCGUGCUAUUUGUAGCAGUUUUUAAGGCAAAAGUGGUCUCUCAAUACAGGUUUCGUCAUGAGGGCUACCCAGUGAAUAAUCUGUGCAGUGUGAUACGGCUGGGUGUACAGGUUACUUCACAGCUGCCUCGACAUACUCAAGAAAUGGAUGCAGAACCUGCGUAAUGCCCACAAACUUUGACUACCACAGCACCUCCAGAAAGUAAAGGCAUAUGUGUCACAUGGGAUUUUUAAAGGCAUUCACAGUAUAUAAUACCUUGUAUGAACUGUUGUAGAUCUAAGCAGCCUCUACGGUACACUCUCAGAAAUUAAAACUUGUCAGAGAACUG